rnacentral:lncRNA from 1 species
GUUUUACGGGCUCACCAACGAACCUUCACAAUUGGUUUUACGGGCUUACCAACAACCUACGUUGGUUUUACGGGCUCACCAACAACCUACGUUGGUUUUACGGGCUUACCAACAACCUACGUUGGUUUUACGGGCUUACCAACAACCUAACAAUGUUGGUUUUACGGGCUUACCAACAAACCUUAUAACAAGAAUAAAGAACAAGGAACUAAAGCUCCUAAAUGAGCAAAUAAAACAAUUAUCAGCUACAAAGAAGAGUUUAAAAUAUAGUUAUUCCUUUAAUAAGGCUCUUCUCUUCUUUGUCAAGAUUGCUUCACUCUUUAAGGGUUGGUGGAGCUCUUAAUGUCUCUUGGAAUCUGCUCAACCACUUUCUUUUGGCUCUUUGAAUGAAGCUUGCCUUGCUACGGUUUUCUCUUGAAUGCAUUUGAUGUCUUUUCCAAAUCUUGCUUCCUCUGAUGAAUACUUCCUCUUAAAUACUUCUCAACCUCCAAAUA